UAAAGUUGUUGCAGUUAAAAAGCUCGUAGUUGAAUUUUGGGCUCAAUUUAUCGGUCGUGCCUACGGUAUGAACUGUUACAAUUGGGUUCUCCCUUCUGGCGAAGCAUGAUGUCAUUAAUUUGGUGUCGUGGGGAAUCAGGACUGUUACUUUGAAAAAAUUAGAGUGUUUAAAGCAAGCAUUAGCUUGAAUACAUUAGCUUGGAAUAAUGAAAUAGGACGUUUGAUCCUAUUUCGUUGGUUUCUAGGAUCGACGUAAUGAUUAAUAGGG
rnacentral:rRNA from 1 species